GGAUGGAGGCAAAGAAGGGUGGGAAAUCCUGGGAUGGUGCAGAGAGGCGGCAUCAGGGGCCAUGGGCUGGGCGGCAUCAGUGGCAGAGGUCAGUGCCCUGGCAUGGCAGGGGUUAAUACAGGGGUAAUCCUGAUCCAGAUGGGAUCCUGUCCUGGCUGAAGCAGGGGAGUAGAGCCUGCAAACACAAAAAUUCCCAGCCUGGAAUUCAGAGCUUUAAUCCAAGAUGUGGUGGUUUGAAAAAUGGAGCUUGGCAGGGGUGGGAGGGGAAAUGCCCUAUUGGUAAGUUCUCUGAGUGAUGAGAAGGAGCUGGGAGUGUAGCCAUGAGUCAGACACAUCUCUGGGAAUCACCAAGGGGCUGAGAGGGGUGGGAAAUCCUGGGAUGGAGGGGUCAGAAAUCCCAGGAUGGAGGGGUGGGAAAUCUCAGGAUGCAGGCAGUGAUGGGGUGGGAAAUCCUGGGAUGGAGGCAGUGACAUGGUAGGAUGAGAAAUCCCAAAAUGGAUGAAAUGAGGGGUGGAAAAUCCUGGGAUGCAGACAGUGAUGGAGUGGGAAAUCCGGGGAUGGAGG
rnacentral:lncRNA from 1 species